CUAUACUUAUCUUACGUCUCGAUACAAAACAAGUCUGAAAUAUUCAAAAAAUCAAUAUUAAUCAACACAACUCUGAUGCUAUAAUGUGGUUAAAACAUAAUACAACUAAAAUAUUAAUCGCAAACUAAUACAAUCCAAGAGAUUUACAGAAAUAGUUAUGUUUAACCUGGCACAAAGACUUUAUAACGAUGCUGCGUAGUAUUCAGAUUCCGCUGUGGACAGUGAGACCGAUGAUUGCUUCUUGGAACUCCAACUGACCAAGUUGCCUUUGUGGAAGAUUGCAACUCCACUCACACUUUUGCGGUCCAUUUGCUCGGAUCCCCAAUCUGAAUCUGAAAAAGCUAUUAAAUUAUUAUUUUCUUCUCUUUUAUAUAUUAAUCCCAUAUGUUUUGUUUGUUGCAGGUAUCUGAGGAUUCUCUUCGCAGCUGUCCAUAAAGUUGGUGUUGGGCAGUGCAAGUAUCUACUUAAAAACCCAGUGGCAUAAGCGAUGUCUGGCCUGCUGAUAGUAGCCAAGUACAUGAGUGAGCCUAUGAGCUCUCUGUAAGGGAUGUUUUCCAUGAUUUCUUCGUUUUCAUUUAUUUUUAGUCCGACUUCCAUUGGUGUAUUGCAACCCUUGCAAUCUUGCAUAUGAAAUUUUAAUAAAAUCUUUUCAAUUA